UUGACCUCAAAUCAGGUAGGACUACCCGCUGAACUUAAGCAUAUCAAUAAGCGGAGGAAAAGAAACUAACAAGGAUUCCCCUAGUAACUGCGAGUGAAGCGGGAAAAGCUCAAAUUUAAAAUCUGGCGGUCUUGCGGCCGUCCGAGUUGUAAUCUGGAGAAGCGUCUAUCCGCGUCGGACCGUGUACAAGUCUUCUGGAAGGGAGCGUCAUAGAGGGUGAGAAUCCCGUCUUUGACACGGAU
rnacentral:rRNA from 1 species